ACUAUGUAGUAGUUAAAACCGCAGACAGCAGGUGGCUUGCCUUAAUUUCCUGCCGAGGUUACUGAAUCUGAUUUUAGUACUCGCAUUGUGUCUGCAAUGUGAUUUUUUAUUGUAAAA
rfam:Peptoniphilus coxii strain DNF00729 genomic scaffold Scaffold159, whole genome shotgun sequence.